rnacentral:lncRNA from 1 species
GCAGUAGGUUUCCAUUAUGGACUGAGAAGAUGUCAGUUCGAGAUGCGCCUCAAGGCUCUUGGUUGCUACUUCACAAGUUAAUGUCGUUAAGACUCAUUCACUGCAUGAAUGUGAGAGAUCCCAAUGUUGGGGCACUUGCCCAAUCUCAAGUCCCUUGAGUUGAGAUGGUUGAGGAAUUUGAAGUGUAUAAAUUCAUCAUUCUACGGAAUGGUGAACAAGGACACACGCAUUGUUUUUCCAGCUCUCGAGAGCUUCGAAUUGAAAUACAUGGAUAAUCUGGUAGAGUGGGCAGAAAUAGAAAUUUGGGAUGGAAGUGAAGUGAAGCUAUUUCCUCGCCUCAAACAUUUGGGAAUUUAUUAUUGCAAGCAAUUGAAGAGUGUUCCAAGUCAUGUCUCGUCCUGCCUUGAAAAAUUGUGGAUUCAGGAUAUCGGUGUGGAAUGUCUGCCAGCUGAUUGGUUAUUGAGUAACAGCGAGACUCUCUCAUGGUUGCAUAUAAAGGACUGCCGGAAUUUGAGAGAAAUAUCAGAUAGGUGGGGAGAAGAAGAAUCAGAAGGAAGAAGCUUCACAAUCACAUCCCUCCCUAAAUUCCCUCGUCUAAAAGAUUUGGAUAUUGAAAGCGUUCCUAAGUUAAGUUUGGAGACUGUGGAUGCAAUGCGGCGCCUCCAAAUUGAUGANCAUUCUACGGAAUGGUGAACAAGGACACACGCACUGUUUUCCCAGCUCUCGAGACCUUCCAAUUGAAAUACAUGCCUAUGCUGGCAGAGUGGGCAGAAAUAGAAAUUUCGGAUGGAAGUGAAGUGAAGCUAUUUCCUCGCCUCCAACAUUUGGAAAUUUACAGGUGUGAGCAAUUGAUGAGUGUUCCAAGUAAUGUCUCGUCAU